CCGAGAGGAGGGAGACGGAACUAGGAAGAAAGUCACCGCUAAAACUUCAUGGUUUAGAUUGUUACUGUGACAAUUUAGUGUUUCUGUUUGUUGGAGAGCGUGUUUCCAUCGUGAAUUCUACUUAAUUGACGCUAAACCGCGACCUCACGGUGACUGUCGCUAGUUAGCUCCCUCAUGCUAGCAGGACGAGGGACUGUUUGGGAAGCACCAGUUGCACCAAGCAAAAAAAAAAAAAAAAAAAAAAAAUCUGUUAACCUACUGGAUGCUUCUGAACGUGGACGGAACCUGAGGACGUGUUUCGAACAGACACCGGUGAAGGAGGAUUGACCAAACUAACAGGAUUCUGCAUCCAAGGAACUAAAUUAUCUGGAGGGUUCAUUGGAAACUUGCAGCUGGGUGCGUUUCCUGCUGUUUGCCUGAACACAUACCCUUCAUUCGGAGAUGAGGCUCCCAGACAGACGGGCAUAUUUUAUAGCGGAGCUUAGAAACUGGCUGGGUCAGUCCUCUAAUGCAACUGAACUCACAUCGCUCUUUUAUUCUUUUCAACUAAAUUGCAUGAUAUUAAUGUUUUUGUAUUUUAUUACCACUAAUCAAGAGCAUUAUGUCAUUACUAAAACAUAUUAUAAAACAUAUUAUAAGAGAUCAGCAGUCUAGUGAAGUGAUUUUCUAUCUAACAACAGAAAACUGUGUAGGUUUAGCAGUUAUACUCAGAAUGUUUUUAGCCUUAUUUUUCAAAUGCACUCACAAAUGUUUGUUUAGUUGUUAUUGUUAGAUGUUAUCCAGCGUUAAUCCUUAUCUUAAAUGACCAGACAAUCAUUUGUAGAGUAAUAG